CUUAGACCUGACUUUGUCACAGCCCAACAGGACACACCAAACUCAGCAGAGAUUGGGGAGUGCUGAUAUCUUCCCACCAAAGAAACUCAAACUCAGAGCCUAUAGGUGGACGUUGGGGUAUAUGAACAGCAACCAAAGCAUGCACCUGCUGCUGUAAAAACGGAACUGACACAUACAGGGAGAGAGAGGUGGAAAGAGGCACCGCAAGCCGCUGUGCAGCAGUAAGACACCAGAGUUUUGUUUCAGAAAGAGAGCUUCAGUGGUGACGUAGCAGAAAGAUCCAGACAUAGACGCACUGCUGAGGCUCCACAUGAUGACGAAGCGCACAGUGCAGUAUGAGACUGAGGACAGACCAAUAAGGACCGAUGAGAGAACAUUGUGACAAUGGAGAACUGGUCCACAUGAAAACGGGGCCAGAUGAAGGCUCAAACUAAAGCAAAAGUUUCAAUGCUAUGGGAAAACACUUCUUCGAGGAGAUUAUUACUGAAAUAAAAGAAUCAAAGCUCUGUAAAAUGUACUCAUGUAUCUAAACUAAACUCUUAUUUUCUUUGCUGUGGAAAACUAGUGGAGAUAAGAGAUGCUACAGGUCUGCAUUAAA